rnacentral:rRNA from 1 species
AGCAUGCGGAUUAAUUCGAUGCAACGCGAAGAACCUUACCAAGGCUUGACAUAUAGAGGAAAAGCGUGGAAAUACGCUCCCCGCAAGGUCUCUAUACAGGUGGUGCAUGGUUGUCGUCAGCUCGUGUCGUGAGAUGUUGGGUUAAGUCCCGCAACGAGCGCAACCCUCGUCCUAUGUUGCCAGCACGUAAUGGUGGGAACUCAUGGGAGACUGCCGGGGUCAACUCGGAGGAAGGUGGGGAUGACGUCAAAUCAUCAUGCCCCUUAUGUCUUGGGCUUCACGCAUGCUACAAUGGCCGGUACAGAGGGCUGCAAUACCGCAAGGUGGAGCGAAUCCCAAAAAGCCGGUCUCAGUUCGGAUUGAGGUCUGCAACUCGACCUCAUGAAGUCGGAGUCGCUAGUAAUCGCAGAUCAGCAACGCUGCGGUGAAUACGUUCCCGGGCCUUGUACACACCGCCCGUCAAGUCACGAAAGUCGUAACACCCGAAAGCCGGUGCCUAACCGUAAGGAAGAGCCGUCG